UUCCUUUUUCCGGAUCUUAGUACUGAGUUUUUCUUUUUUCUCAAGCUGCAAUUUGGCUUGCAGCAAUGUCUAGUUUAAUCCGGCAGUGGGACUUUUCUUGAAAGUAAACUAACCAUAAGAGAAUUAGGGGUUUAUAACGCAGGGAGGUGAAAACAUAAAAGCAAAUGGGUUUUAGAAUGUAUCCAAAUCAUAACAGCCCUCAAGUAUGGCGGGGAGAGUGGAUUUUGAGAAUGUGUGGGAUGGAAACUAGAAUCAGCAUCUGAAGGAAAAGUUUACUUAACGCAGGACCCAUCUGUUAUCUGAAGAGCGUUGCUUGAAGUAUCCUAUAAAAACAGCAGGACACGAGGACUGUGAGGGGGAAAGAAGAAGGAAAGCACUACAAUACACCGAAGACAGGAAGAGGUAGAAGAAAGAAAUCAGAGAAAAGCAUGGAAAUAACACAAGAAAUGAAAACCAGGUUUAUUCUCACAAAGAAAUACAGAGGUUUAAUGGAACUCCCAUAUCAGGAGAAGACUGGGUGAAAAAAAUCAGGUAGCAAAGAUAUUCAUGUUCUGGAGUUUGGGAAGUCCACAAUCAAGGCAUCAGCAGUUUGGUGUAUGGUGAAGGCCUGUUCUCCACUUCCAAGAUGGCACCUUGAGCCCUGUGUCUUCACAUGGCAGAAGAGUAAAAGGGGAUGAUUGCUGCUUCCCUCCAGCCCCUUAUGAGGGCACUAAUUCCACUCAUGAGGGCUCUGCUAUUGGAACUUAAUUCCCUCCCAAAGGCCCCACCCUUAAUACUAUCACACUGCCUGUUAAAUUACUACACAUGAAUUUAGCGGACAUUUACAUUAUAGCACUUCCUAAAGGUACCCCCAGCUCCCAUGCUGAGUCAGCUCAAGAAAGUUCAUGCAGCUAUACUUUAAGGCGAGCAGCUUCCCACUGCCUUGCCCUUUCGCCUGGUUCUCCACCUCACCUUGGGCCUGACCAGUGGAGUCAGCUGUCUGUGGACUGAGACCUCUGAAACUGAGCCAAAAUAAACUGUU